GCAUCACCCAAAUAGCAAUGGAGAAAUACACGGUGAGCAUGAGUAAGUCACAACCUGUAAAGGACAUCACCAGAGAGACACAUGACAAAACCAAGAGGUUUACCCAUCAUGAACAUCAAGAGGAAACCAAUGAAUGGCCAUCAUCCUCUAUGGACAUCCAAAUAAUGUGAGAGACUUCAGUAUCCAAAGCAUCUGUGAUUUGAUUAAUGUGGGUAUACUUACCAACAAUGCAGACUGCACCUCUCACUUCUCUGGAAAUUCUGCACAACUCUUCUCCAUGUCUUCCAAUACUUUUGCCACAGUUGAGUUCACCCAACCUGCCUGCUCAAAGAAUGCUCACCACUGGACUUUCCAGAUACUCCUUGGGUGAUGAUCAAGUUCAAUUCUAAGAUUACUAAUUCCAUGAAAUACAAGCAUACAAGAAUAUCACAAGUACAUUAGCAUAUAAAAAGUUAGGCUUUUUGUUGUGUUUGGUGAUUGAUAGAAUGUUGGGAAUUUCAAUCCAGCUUCAACUCUCUGCCUGAUGUGAAGCAUUAUAUGAACUCAAAGAUCCUUGAAUCCCUUUUAUCCUCUCC
rnacentral:lncRNA from 1 species